rnacentral:rRNA from 1 species
AACGAACGCUGGCGGCAGGCUUAACACAUGCAAGUCGAACGCAUCCUUCGGGGUGAGUGGCAGACGGGUGAGUAACGCGUGGGAACGUGCCCUUCAGUUCGGGAAAACCCAGGGAAACUUGGGCUAAUACCGGAUACGUGCGAGAGCAGAAAGAUUUAUCGCUGAAGGAUCGGCCCGCGUCUGAUUAGCUAGUUGGUGGGGUAAUGGCCCACCAAGGCGACGAUCAGUAGCUGGUCUGAGAGGAUGAUCUGCCACAUUGGGACUGAGACACGGCCCAAACUCCUACGGGAGGCAGCAGUGGGGAAUAUUGGACAAUGGGCGCAAGCCUGAUCCAGCCAUGCCGCGUGAGUGAUGAAGGCCUUAGGGUUGUAAAGCUCUUUCGUCCGGGACGAUAAUGACGGUACCGGAAGAAGAAGCCCCGGCUAACUUCGUGCCAGCCGCCGCAGUAA